rfam:Ixodes scapularis strain Wikel colony gcontig_1108379196506, whole genome shotgun sequence.
CCUUGGUUAGCUCAAUUGCUAGGGCGCUCCACUGGAAAUGGAGAGGUCUCGGGUUCGAUACCCGGACCAGGCG